UUAACUAUAGAUAAAUUGUUUUUACAUUGCAUUCUGUGUUGAAAGUUAGUUUUUUUGUACUAUUAUCUUAUUAGUAGUUACAUGUUCCAUGAGAAUUACAACGUAUUAGGCAAACAAUUCUCUCUAGUUAAAAGACUUUCCUUUUAAUGAUCAAAAUUCAAAACAAAGAUGUUCCACUACAAAUUAUGCUUCAAAUUUAAUUUGUAUAUUUUUUGUGUUUUACUCUCAUUGUCUAAAAACCUGUUCUUUUUUUAUACGUGUGGUAUGAAGCCAUGCGUGGUCUCAACCGUAGGAAGAAAAAGAUCAUCAAUAAAUGCAUCAUCACGAGGGGGAUAGAGCUGGAAUAUUCUGAGAUGGAAAAGAUGAUCAGAAAUGCGUUUGGACCAACAAAGUCUUCGUGAUGCGUCCUAGUGCACAGGAUUAGCAAAUGCGACGUUUCAUCUGGCUACAUGAGAAUCCCAAAAAAAGUGGUGCAACGUAUUGAGAAGAAAACGGGAAUUCUUGAGGAAGAAGGACAGCUUAUGCUUUUCCAUGAUGUUGAUGCAUAUGUUGAUGCUAGAUACAAGAAGCUUACGGAUGAGAGGCUCGUUCUACAGGGAGGUUUCAGGACUUAUGCACAUUUUCUUGGUUUGAAGGUUGACGAUUUGGUAUCAAAUUUUUUCGAGAAGGUUGAAGACCCUGCAGCGAUAAAAGUGUGGUUCACCGUCAUAUCUUAGACGACUUGCUGGGAACUUAAUGUAAUAUUGAAAUUAGAUUGAGAGAGAUGAAUUUGGACCUUCUAGUGUUUUGCGUAUGGCAGACGUGUUAGCUGCAUUUCCUAAACAAUAUCUAUACAUAACCUUUAAAUA